rnacentral:rRNA from 1 species
UACGUAGGGGGCAAGCGUUGUCCGGAAUUAUUGGGCGUAAAGAGCGCGUAGGCGGUCCGAUAAGUCGGCUGUGAAAGUCAAGGGCUCAACCCUUGAAAGCCGGCCGAUACUGUCGGACUAGAGUCCGGAAGAGGCGAGUGGAAUUCCCGGUGUAGCGGUGAAAUGCGCAGAUAUCGGGAGGAACACCAAUGGCGAAGGCAGCUCGCUGGGACGGUUCUGACGCUGAGGCGCGAAAGCGUGGGGAGCAAACAGG